GACGAACGCUGGCGGCGUGCUUAACACAUGCAAGUCGAACGGAAAGGCCCUGCUUGCAGGGUACUCGAGUGGCGAACGGGUGAGUAACACGUGGGUGAUCUGCCCUGCACUUCGGGAUAAGCUUGGGAAACUGGGUCUAAUACCGGAUAGGACCGCACUUUAGUGUGUGUGGUGGAAAGUUUUUUCGGUGUAGGAUGAGCUCGCGGCCUAUCAGCUUGUUGGUGGGGUAAUGGCCUACCAAGGCGGCGACGGGUAGCCGGCCUGAGAGGGUGUACGGCCACAUUGGGACUGAGAUACGGCCCAGACUCCUACGGGAGGCAGCAGUGGGAAAUAUUGCACAAUGGGCGCAAGCCUGAUGCAGCGACGCCGCGUGGGGGAUGAAGGCCUUCGGGUUGUAAACUCCUUUCGCUAGGGACGAAGCUUUUUGUGACGGUACCUAGAUAAGAAGCACCGGCUAACUACGUG
rnacentral:rRNA from 1 species